UAAGGAAUAUUGGUCAAUGGACGAAAGUCUGAACCAGCCAUGCCGCGUGGAGGAUGAAGGUCCUCUGGAUCGUAAACUUCUUUUAUAUGGGACGAAAAAAGGGUUUUCUAACUCGACUGACGGUACCAUAUGAAUAAGCACCGGCUAACUCCGUGCCAGCAGCCGCGGUAAUACGGAGGGUGCAAGCGCUAUCCGGAUUCACUGGGUUUAAAGGGUGCGUAGGUGGGCUGGAAAGUCAGUGGUGAAAUCCCCGAGCUUAACUCGGGAACUGCCGUUGAUACUAUCAGUCUUGAAUAUCGUGGAGGCUAGCGGAAUAUGUCAUGUAGCGGUGAAAUGCUUAGAUAUGACAUAGAACACCAAUUGCGAAGGCAGCUGGCUACACGAAUAUUGACACUGAGGCACGAAAGCGUGGGGAUCAAACAGGAUUAGAUACCCUGGUAGUCCACGCCCUAAACUAUGGAUACUCGACAUACGCGAUACACUGUGUGUGUCUGAGCGAAAGCAUUAAGUAUCCCACCUGGGAAGUACGAUCGCAAGAAUG
rnacentral:rRNA from 1 species